AUGAGGAUCCCUGAUCAUCUUCUGGGUCUGCUAAUGCUCUGGAUCCCAGGAGCCAGAGGUGAUAUUGUGCUGACCCAGAGUCCACUCUCCAUGUCCGUCGUCUCCAGAGAACCAGCCUCCAUCUCCUGCAAGUCCAGUGAGAGUCUGUUGCACAGUAACGGAAACACCUAUUUGAACUGGUUCCAUCAGAAGCCAGGCCAGCCCCCAAGGCGCCUGUUCUAUAAAAUUUCCAAUCGAGACCCUGGGGUCCCAGAUAGAUUCAGUGCCAGUGGUUCUGAGACAGAUUUCACUCUUAAAAUAAGUAGGGUGGAACCUAAAGAUGUUGGAGUUUACUACUGCUUUCAAGGUACAAAGUCUCCUCACACAGUGAUACAGCCCUGA